rnacentral:rRNA from 1 species
AUUGAACGCUGGCGGCAGGCCUAACACAUGCAAGUCGAGCGGAUGAAGGGAGCUUGCUCCUGGAUUCAGCGGCGGACGGGUGAGUAAUGCCUAGGAAUCUGCCUGGUAGUGGGGGAUAACGUCCGGAAACGGGCGCUAAUACCGCAUACGUCCUGAGGGAGAAAGUGGGGGAUCUUCGGACCUCACGCUAUCAGAUGAGCCUAGGUCGGAUUAGCUAGUUGGUGGGGUAAAGGCCUACCAAGGCGACGACCCGUAACUGGUCUGAGAGGAUGAUCAGUCACACUGGAACUGAGACACGGUCCAGACUCCUACAGGAGGCAGCAGUGGGGAAUAUUGGACAAUGGGCGAAAGCCUGAUCCAGCCAUGCCGCGUGUGUGAAGAAGGUCUUCGGAUUGUAAAGCACUUUAAGUUGGGAGGAAGGGCAGUAAGUUAAUACCUUGCUGUUUUGACGUUACCAACAGAAUAAGCACCGGCUAACUUCGUG